UCUGCAGAUUGUUCUUGUAGCCCUAAGAGA
rnacentral:piRNA from 1 species